rnacentral:rRNA from 1 species
GCACCCCAGUCAGGCGGGCCAACCCUUGAUUUUUAAGCAUAUCAAUAA